GAUGAACGCUAGCGACAGGCCUAACACAUGCAAGUCGAGGGGUAACAUUUCAGCUUGCUGAAGAUGACGACCGGCGCACGGGUGAGUAACGCGUAUGCAACCUACCUUGUACAGGGGGAUAGCCCGGAGAAAUCCGGAUUAAUACCGCAUAAUAUGAUUGAUUCGCAUGGAUUAAUUAUUAAAACUUCGGUGGUACAAGAUGGGCAUGCGUAGCAUUAGUUAGUUGGUAAGGUAACGGCUUACCAAGACGAUGAUGCUUAGGGGGUCUGAGAGGAUAGUCCCCCACACUGGUACUGAGACACGGACCAGACUCCUACGGGAGGCAGCAGUGAGGAAUAUUGGUCAAUGGGCGCAAGCCUGAACCAGCCAUGUCGCGUGCAGGAUGACGGCCCUAUGGGUUGUAAACUGCUUUUUUACGGGAAUAAUUGUUUCUACGUGUAGAGAUUUGAAGGUACCGUAUGAAUAAGGAUCGGCUAACUCCG
rnacentral:rRNA from 1 species